rnacentral:rRNA from 1 species
UGGGGAAUAUUGCACAAUGGGCGCAAGCCUGAUGCAGCAACGCCGCGUGAACGAUGAAGGUCUUCGGAUCGUAAAGUUCUGUUGCAGGGGAAGAUAAUGACGGUACCCUGUGAGGAAGCCCCGGCUAACUACGUGCCAGCAGCCGCGGUAAUACGUAGGGGGCUAGCGUUAUCCGGAUUUACUGGGCGUAAAGGGUGCGUAGGUGGUCUUUCAAGUCGGUGGUUAAAGGCUACGGCUCAACCGUAGUUAGCCUCCGAAACUGGAAGACUUGAGUGCAGGAGAGGAAAGUGGAAUUCCCAGUGUAGCGGUGAAAUGCGUAGCUAUUGGGAGGAACACCAGUAGCGAAGGCGGCUUUCUGGACUGCAACUGACACUGAGGCACGAAAGCGUGGGUAGCAAACAGG